rnacentral:rRNA from 1 species
UACAGAGGGCGCGAGCGUUGUCCGGAAUCACUGGGCGUAAAGGGCGCGUAGGCGGGAUGACAAGUCGGUCGUGAAAUCCCUGGGCUCAACUCAGGGGGGUCGGCCGAUACUGCCAUUCUUGAGGGAUGCAGAGGAGACUGGAAUUCCCGGUGUAGCGGUGAAAUGUGUAGAGAUCGGGAGGAACACCGGUGGCGAAGGCGGGUCUCUGGGCAUUCCCUGACGCUGAGGCGCGAAAGCGUGGGGAGCAAACGGG